rnacentral:lncRNA from 1 species
CCUCGACGAGGGCCACCCCCUGCUCCACGGCACCCAGUCCCAUCGACCACCCAAGGGCUGAGGAGUGCGGGCGCACGCAGGGGACUGGCAGGCAGCUCCACCUGCAGCCCCGGUGCGGGAUUCACCGGGUGAAGCCAGCUGGGCUCCUGAAUCUGGUGGGGCUUUGGAGAACCUUUACAAUCCCUGAGCUAGACAUAAAUACACCAAUCGGCACUCUGUAUCUAGCUCAAGGUUUGUAAACACACCAAUCAGCACCCUGUGUCUAGCUCAGGGUUUGUGAGUGCACCAAUGGACACUCUGUAUCUAUCUGCUCUGGUGGGGCCUUGGAGAACCUUUGUGUGGAUACUCUGUAUCUAAUCUGAUGGGGACGUGGAGAACCUUUGUAUCCAGCUCAGGGAUUGUAAACGCACCAAUCAGCGCCCUGUCAAAACAGACCACUGGGCUCUACCAAUCAGCAGGACGUGGGUGGGGCCAGAUAAGAGAAUGAAACCAGGCUGCCCCAGCCAGCAGUGGCAACCCGCUUGGGUCCCCUUCCACACUGUGGAAGCUUUGUUCUUUUGCUCUUUGCAAUAAAUCUUGCUACUGCUCACUCUUUGGGUCCAUGCUGCUUUUAUGAGCUGUAACACUCACCACGAAGGCCUGCAGCUUCACUCCUGAAGCCAGCGAGACCACGAGCCCGCCGGGAGGAACGAACAACUCCAGAUGUGCCGCCUUAAGAGCUGUAACACUCACCGCAAAGGUCUGCAGCUUCACUCCUGAGCCAGCGAGACCACGAACCCACCAGAAGGAAGAAACUCCGAACACAUCCGAACAUCAGAAGGAACAAACUCCAGACACACCACCUUAAGAGCUGUAACACUCACCGCAAGGGUCCGCAGUUUCAUUCUUGAAGUCAGUGUGACCAAGAACCCACCAAUUCCAGACACAUUAGCACUGGCUCCUUUUUUUUUUAGACGGAGUCUCGCUCUUUUGCCCAGGCCGGAGUGCAGUGGCGCGAUCUCGGCUCACUGCAAGCUCCGCCUCCCAGGUUCAUACCAUUCUCCUGCCCCAGACUCCCGAGUAGCUGGGACUACAGGCACCCGCCACUGAACCUGGUUAAUUUUUUGUAUUUUUAGUAGAGAUGGGGUUUCACCGUGUUAGCCAGGAUGGUCGCUAUCUCCUGACCUCAUGAUCCGCCAGCCUCGGCCUCCCAAAGUGCUGGGAUUACAGGGGUGAACCACCGCGCCCGGCCUCACUCCUUUUUAAUUACGCAAAUAUCUCUAGCAAGUGGUUGCUCCACAGCCUGCUUGUAUCCCUCUUUUGAGAAAGCUUUUUCUUUCUUUGCCACAUGGGCAGACUACAAAAUUUCCAAACUUUUAUAUUCUGCUUCCCUUUUAAAUGUAAGCUCCAACUUUCUUCAUCAUUUCCAUCUGAGACUCAGCAGCUUGGAUCUCGCUGUCCAUAUCACUAUCAGCAUUUUGGUCACAACAAUUUAACCAGUCUCUAAGAAGUUUUAAACCUUCCCUCAUCUUCCUGUCUUUUUCUGAGCCUUCCAAACUCUUUCAGCCUCUGCCUGUUACAUAGUUCCAAAAUGACUUCCACAUUUUCAGGUAUCUUUAUAGUAAUUCCCCACCCCGGUGCCAAUUUUCUCUUAGAUUGCUAUACAGAAAUAGCUGAGACUGGGUAAUUUAUAAGAAAAGAGGUUUAAUUGGCUCAUGGUUCUACAGGCUGUACAGGAAGCAUAGCAGCAUCUGCUUCUGGGGAGGCCUCAGGAAACUUCCAAUCGUGGCAGAAGGCAAAGGGGAAGCAGGCACAUCACAUGGUGAAAGCAGGAACAAGGUCAGGGGGCAGAUGCUACACACUUUUAAAUGACUAGAUCUCGAGAGAACUGAAAAGACAGUACCAAGCUAUGAGGGAUCCACCCCCAUGAUCCAAACACCUCUGGGCAGGCCCCACAUUCAGCACUGGGGAUUACAAUUCAACAUGAGAUGUGGGUGGGGACAAAUAUCCAAACUAUAACAGCCUAUAAUUCACAUUUUAUCAUCAAAGGAGCAAAUAUUAUUCUUGGGGCAAAACUGAGUAAAUAUUGUCGUCCCACAUGGAUGUGAACUAUUUCUAGUCUCUUUCCUGAUAGAAGUAGGGGAAAAAAUGCAUUUACUAAAUCAGUGGCUGUGUAUUAUGUACCUCACACUUAGUACCCCUACUGUGUGCAGUCAUUGAGUGGAAGUAAACCAGAAAGUGGCCUCAGUGUGAGAACUGAGGUGGAUCCAAAAAUGGCAGCUGGCUGGGCAUGAUGGCUCACACCUGUAAUCCUAGCACUUUGAGAGCCCAAGGCAGGCAAAUCACUUGAGGUCAGGAGUUUGAAACCAGACUAGCCAACAUGGUGAAACCCUUUCUCUACUAAAAAUACAAAAAAUUAGCCAGGCGUGGCCGGGCACAGUGGCUCAUGCCUGUAAUCCCAGCACUUUGGGAGGCCGAUGCAGGCAGAUCACCUGAGGUCAGGAGUUCGAGACCAGCCUGACCAACACAGUGAAACCCCGUCUCUACUAAAAAUACAAAAACUAGCUGGGCAUGGUGGCUCGCCACUGUAGUCCCAGCUACUCAGGAGGCUGAGGCAGGAGAAUCACUUGAACCUGGGAGACGGAGGUUGUAAUGAGCCAAGAUUGCACCACUGCACUCUAGCUCGGGCUACGGAGCAAGAAUCUGUCUCAAAAAAAAAAGAAAGAAAGAAAGAAAGAAAGAAAGAAAGAAAGAAAGAAAGAAAAAGAAAAAAUUAGCCAAACAUGGUGGUUCAUGCUUGUAACCCCAGCUACUCAGGAGGCUGAAGCAGGAGAAUCGCUUGAACCUGGCAGGCAGAGGUUGCAGUGAGCUGAGAUUGUACCACUGCACUUCAACCUGGGCAACAGAGUGAGACUCCAUCCCCACUCCCCCACAAAAAAAACAGCAGCUAGAGGCUGGCCAGGGAACUAUGUUUCUCAUAGAGGCCUGCCUGCCUGCCUGCCUUCCUUCCUUCCUUCUUUCCUUCCUUCUCUGUUUUUCUUUGACAUGAAUUAAAAAAUAAUUUUCAUUAUGUAUGCAUUAACAUUGUUUUACUGUGGCAAGAACACCUAACAUGAGUUCUACUCAAUGGCAUUUUAAGCGCACAAUGCAGUAUUGUCAUCUACAGGCACAAUAUUGUAUAGCAGAGCUCUAGAAUUCACCUUGCAUAAUUGAAAUGUUAUAUCCAUUGAUUAGCAACUUCCCAUUUCCUGCAACCACCAUUCUACUCUCUGUUUCUAUAAGUUUGAGUAUUUUAGAGACCUCAUAUAAGUGGAGUCAUGGAGUAUUUAUCC